rnacentral:rRNA from 1 species
UGGGGAAUAUUGCACAAUGGGGGAAACCCUGAUGCAGCGACGCCGCGUGAACGAAGAAGGUAUUCGUAUCGUAAAGUUCUGUCCUAUGGGAAGAUAAUGACAGUACCAUAGAAGAAAGCUCCGGCUAAAUACGUGCCAGCAGCCGCGGUAAUACGUAUGGAGCGAGCGUUGUCCGGAAUUAUUGGGCGUAAAGGGUACGCAGGCGGUUUAAUAAGUCGAAUGUUAAAGAUCGGGGCUCAACCCCGUAAAGCAUUGGAAACUGAUAAACUUGAUGAGUGGAGAGGAAGGUGGAAGUCCUAGUGUAGUGGUGAAAUACGUAGAUAUUAGGAGGAAGACCAGUAGCGAAGGAGACUUUCUGGACACAAACUGACGCUGAGGUACGAAAGCGUGGGGAGCAAACAGG